UCUCAAAAUCUUUUCUCUCUUCUUCUUGUUCGGCCGAAAAUCUUUUCUCUCUUCUUCUUCGCAUAGAGGCACCGUUCGCCUCCGACUACCUCUCAUCAAAUACCUCCAUUCGCCUCCUCUGUCCGCCGACCUCCGUUCGCCUCCUCUGUCCGCCGACCUCCCCUAACACCAUCACUCUCCGUUGCUGCGAGAAGGGCAACCAUCGUACCGGCACUGCAGCCUUAGUUGAUUUGUGUGAACAACGAUCUCUUUUAUCACACAAUUUUUUCAUUUCAGGGUUUCUCUAUCUUGCAGUAAUCCAUAUUCCCCCAAAUGUAUUAGGGUUUCAUUUCUAGGUCUAAUUUAUUGAUAUUUUCUGAACGAAUUAGGAUUGAGUAUGACCGAGAAGUCAACACCUUUUCUCCAGAAGCCCGUUUGUUUCAGGUUGAAUAUGUAAUCGAAGCCAUCAAGCUUGGAUCAACUGCAAUUUGUUUGAAGACUAAAUAGGGUGUUGUCCUUGCAGUUGAAAAGCGUACUACUUCUCCUUUACUGGAGCCUAGCAGCAUUGAGAAAAUUAUGGAAAUUGAUGACCAUACUGGUUGUGCAAUGAGUGGAUUGAUUACUGAUGCUCUACACUUGUUGAGCAUGUACAAGUUGAAACUCAGGCACCAACAAGUGAUGAAAUUGUUCUAUCAACUCAAGAUGAGACUCAAGUUGCAAACUCAGUAAAAAAAACAUAGAAAUUUCUUCAAGAAGUUUGGCUUUUAGAGACUGUUCUAAAAGAAGGGAGGUUCAGAAAUCGGCAGCUGGUGCAAGAGGUUGUUCUUUCUGCUGAUAUGAAAUGUGAGAACUGCCAGAAGAGAGUUUCUGAUAUUAUUACAAAAAUGAAUGCAGAAACUAAGUCCAUAGUGGUGAAUGUACUGGAAAUGAAAGUGAUACUUUUAGAAUAUCAUCAACAAGACAUGUUGGUAAAGUAUUCUCACACAAAGUUACACCUAAAGUUGCCAUUAUCAAACGGAUAUUCCGGCCAUCCAAUGGUUAGAAAGAAAACACAUGCGCAUAAGAUUAUAUAGAUUGAGUUGAUAAUGUCCAACACAUAGUUUUUGGAGUAGAUUGAAUUUGUUUUGUGAUUGCUUUCUCAAACUGGAUAUUCACAAAUAGAGAUAAAGGGAUUAUAAUGAAGUUCACCGUGUAUAAAAUUUCUUAUAAUUUUGUACACUUAUGUAUCCUAGAUUAAUAUUUUUGUAAAUUUUGAAGAAUAUAU